CUGGGGAAAAUUAAACAUCUCAAGGGCUCCCUCUGCUGAAAGAAGAAAGUGACUAUCCCAAGAGGAGCAGACCCCCCUGGUCUGUUGCUGCCCCUGUUACUGCUCCCUUGUUUUCCUUUACUCUCGGUCUCUCACUGUCGGAGAAAGAUUAAAGCUCAGGGGGUGAGUAGGAAACCCUACUGACUGCUUGAGGGUGAGGGAAACCUGCAGCUCACCUCUGCCUUCUUCCCAGACCCACAGCCCAAACGAAGAAGUGGGGCUGGGAGUAAGGGGGUGGGGGGCGAGGAAGAAAAGUCAGAGUAAAAUAGAUCCAUCUGACUCUGGUCUUACUUCAAUUGUCUGGACCCCGCUAUCAAACCGGAACGGGAGAAAGAGCCUAUCUGCUGCGGCUCUGAGUACUGUGAGAGCACUUUGAAGCCUCUGCGUGAGGAGGAGGAGGAAGAGGCAGCGGAGGCGUCUGUAACAGCAGCAACAGCAGCAGUAGCAGCAGCAGCGUGAGGGUGCGCGCACUCUGGGCUAGAGAGUGAGCGAACAGUGGAGCUGGGUGAGGGUUUACACGCCGCCCGCCCGCGGAAACAGCAGCAUCCACGCUCAACCUCCCUGCCCCUCCAACAACAGCACCGCCUCUCCCCUGCAGCGUCAGCCCGGGGACUCCCUUUUUCUCCUCCUUCUCUCCUCGUCUGGCCAGACCCGGGGCAGCGCAGAAUGCGCCCAGCUGCUGCGUUCUGAUCGCCCUCCCACAGCCGCCGCCGCCGCCGCCACCGCGAUGAUCUCUCCGGAGCAGCAGCAACAACAGCAGCAGCUGCAGCAGCAACAGCAGCCCAACCAUGUCGUGGCCACCAUCGAGAACCUGCCGGCAGACAGCAGUGGCAGCAGCGGCGGGAGUCUCUCUGCCUCGUCCGCCUCCAGCGUGCGCCAGAGGAUCAGGAAAAUGCUGAACAGGUCACUUGGCAGAAUUUCCAGAGGCAAGAGACUACUGGUGUACCACCCAUGCCUUUUUUCCUGGAAGAGUACAAGCAGGCCAUCUGGCAAAAACCAGAUUUCCCCUUUGAGUGGUCCAGUCCUGGAUACUGAGAUGCAGCCAUGCCCUGAAGGCAGAAAUUGAUGAGAUGAGACUUUGUUCAGAGUCUAGCUCCAGGAGAAACUGUUUCUUCCUGGUCUGCACCAUCUUUAAUAAGGAGGUGCAAGAAAAAAGUGGUUUUAUGUACAAAUAAGACCUUAUAGACUGUAACCAUUCUUUGUUAUCCUAUUUGAAAAAAGUUUAUUACAUUUAGUGGAAUAAACCACAAAUGUUCAAAAUCA
rnacentral:lncRNA from 1 species